AACUGCCUGUGUAUAAUGGUUUCUAGCUUCCCUGAACAGCUGCAUAUCACGGGGGCUGUCUAUAGGUAACUGUAGUUGGGUCUGUGGUUGUAAAUGGUAGAAUGUGUGUAUAUAGGUAACUGUAGUUGGGUCUGUGGUUGGAAAUGGUAGAAUGUGUGUCUAUAGGUAACUGUAGUUGGGUCUGUGGUUGUAAAUGGUAGAAUGUGUGUCUAUAGGUAACUGUAGUUGGGUCUGUGGUUGGAAAUGGUAGAAUGUGUGUCUAUAGGUAACUGUAGUUGGGUCUGUGGUUGGAAAUGGUAGAAUGUGUCUCUAUAGGUAACUGUAUUUGGGUAGUUGGGUCUGUUUGUAAAUGGUAGAAUGUGUGUCUAUAGGUAACUGUAGUUGGGUCUGUGGUUGUAAAUGGUAGAAUGUGUGUCUAUAGGUAACUGUAUUUGGGUCUGUGGGUAUAAAUGGUAGAAUGUGUGUGUAGGUAACUGUAGUUGGGUCUGUGGUUGUAAAUGGUAGAAUGUGUGUCUAUGUAACUGUGGUUGUAAAUGGUAGAAUGUGUGUCUAUAGGUAACUGUAGUUGGGUCUGUGGUUGUAAAUGGUAGAAUGUGUGUCUAUAGGUAACUGUAGUUGGGUCUGUGGUUGUAAAUGGUAGAAUGUGUGUCUAGGUAACUGUAGUUGGGUCUGUGGUUGUAAAUGGUAGAAUGUGUGUCUAUAUGUAACUGUGGUUGUAAAUGGUAGAAUGUGUGUCUAUAGGUAACUGUAGUUGGGUCUGGGGUUGUAAAUGGUAGAAUGUGUGUCUAUGUAACUGUGGUUGUAAAUGGUAGAAUGUGUGUCUAUAGGUAACUGUAGUUGGGUCUGGGGUUGUAAAUGGUAGAAUGUGUGUCUAUAGGUAACUGUAUUUGGGUAGUUGGGUCUGUGGUUGUAAAUGGUAGAAUGUGGUUGUAUCCUGACUCUCCACCCUUCUCACAAAGUGUUCACUUUCACACUUCUUGUCGUGGAUGUGACAUUGUUGGAAAAGCCCUCUAUUCACUAUUUACACCAAUCCAACUCUUUUAAAUCCAUGAUGGGAGUGUGCAAAUUUGUUCCAUAGCCAUAGAAUGUGACUUUGAGGAUGGUGAUUGAUCAGGAUGUGAUCAUAGUGAACGUAUGCUGUGACUCCGGUAGGAUGGUGAUGGAUCAGGAUGUGAUCAUAGUGAACGUAUGCUGUGACUCCGGUAGGAUGGUGAUUGAUUAGGAUGUGAUCAUAGUGAACGUAUGCUGUGACUCCGGUAGGAUGGUGAUUGAUCAGGAUGUGAUCAUAGUGAACGUAUGCUGUGACUCCGGUAGGAUGGUGAUUGAUUAGGAUGUGAUCAUAGUGAACGUAUGCUGUGACUCCGGUAGGAUGGUGAUUGAUUAGGAUGUGAUCAUAGUGAACGUAUGCUGUGACUCCGGUAGGAUGGUGAU